UACACACCGCCCGUCACACCAUGGAAGUUGGCUGCACCAGAAGUAGUUAGUCUAACCGCAAGGGGGACGAUUACCACGGUGUGGUCAAUGACUGGGGUGAAGUCGUAAACAAGGUACC
rnacentral:rRNA from 1 species